rnacentral:rRNA from 1 species
UAAGGAAUAUUGGUCAAUGGGCGAAAGCCUGAACCAGCCAUCCCGCGUGCAGGAUGACUGCCCUAUGGGUUGUAAACUGCUUUAGACUGAGAAGAAACCCCUCAAUGCGUUGGGGGCUGACGGUAUCAGUAAAAUAAGCACCGGCUAACUCCGUGCCAGCAGCCGCGGUAAUACGGAGGGUGCAAGCGUUAUCCGGAAUCACUGGGUUUAAAGGGUGCGUAGGCGGCUUGAUAAGUCAGAGGUGAAAGCC